rnacentral:tRNA from 1 species
GCGGGUAUAGCUCAGUGGUUGAGCGCCUGCUUCCAAUGUAUGAGGUCCUGGGUUCAAUCCCCAGUACCUCCU